rnacentral:rRNA from 1 species
UACGGGGGGAGCAAGCGUUGUUCGGAUUUACUGGGCGUAAAGGGCGCGUAGGCGGCCAGCACAAGUCAGUUGUGAAAUCUCCGAGCUUAACUCGGAACGGUCAACUGAUACUGUGCGGCUAGAGUGCAGAAGGGGCAACUGGAAUUCUUGGUGUAGCGGUGAAAUGACGUAGAUAUCAAGAGGAACACCUGCGGCGAAGGCGGGUUGCUGGGCUGACACUGACGCUGAGGCGCGAAAGCUAGGGGAGCGAACGGG